rnacentral:misc_RNA from 1 species
GAUGAUCAAAUAAAGUCCGUUCGUGCCGGUCCGGGUAAAGCUACUACAAUGAAGAGACACCCAUGCCAGCUUCUUUCCUCUGAGAUGAAGACCAGCCCUUACUCUCUACUUCAGGGUCAAAUCCCUGGUGUGACGACAGAAAAAGAGCAUAUAAUGUCCCGGCAAAUGCAAGCGUCUCAUAGUUCACAUUUGAUCGAUUCAAACCUGCUGCUUAAAGAGCUGCUUGCUACCACUGCGUAAUUGUAUUAUAAGACAAUAGCCCAAGACAGCUGUGGCAUGCCCUGUUU